rnacentral:rRNA from 1 species
UACGUAGGGUGCGAGCGUUAAUCGGAAUUACUGGGCGUAAAGGGUGCGCAGGCGUCUCCUCAUGUCGGGCGUGAAAUCCCCGGGCUUAACCUGGGAAUUGCGUCCGAAACUAUGGAGCUGGAGUGUGGCAGAGGGGGAUGGAAUUCCGCGUGUAGCAGUGAAAUGCGUAGAUAUGCGGAGGAACACCGAUGGCGAAGGCAAUCCCCUGGGCCGGCACUGACGCUCAUGCACGAAAGCGUGGGGAGCAAACAGG